rnacentral:rRNA from 1 species
UAGUGAUUAGAGUUUGAUCCUGGCUCAGGACGAACGCUGGCGGCGUGCCUAAUACAUGCAAGUCGAGCGGACCGAACGAGAGCUUGCUCUUGUUUGGUCAGCGGCGGACGGGUGAGUAACACGUGGGCAACCUGCCCGCAAGACCGGGAUAACUCCGGGAAACCGGAGCUAAUACCGGAUAACACCAAAGACCGCAUGGUCUUUGGUUGAAAGGCGGCUUCGGCUGCCACUUGCGGAUGGGCCCGCGGCGCAUUAGCUAGUUGGUGAGGUAACGGCUCACCAAGGCGACGAUGCGUAGCCGGCCUGAGAGGGUGACCGGCCACACUGGGACUGAGACACGGCCCAGACUCCUACGGGAGGCAGCAGUAGGGAAUCUUCCGCAAUGGACGAAAGUCUGACGGAGCGACGCCGCGUGAGCGAAGAAGGCCUUCGGGUCGUAAAGCUCUGUUGUGAGGGACGAAGGAGCGCCGUUUGAAUAAGGCGGCGCGGUGACGGUACCUCACGAGAAAGCCCCGGCUUAACUACGUGCCAGCAGCCGCGGUAAUACGUAGGGGGCGAGCGUUGUCCGGAAAUUAUUGGGCGUAAAGCGCGCGCAGCGGUCCUUUAAGUCUGAUGUGAAAGCCCACGGCUCAACCGUGGAGGGUCAUUGGAAACUGGGGGACUUGAGUGCAGGAGAGGAGAGCGGAAUUCCACGUGUAGCGGUGAAAUGCGUAGAGAUGUGGAGGAACACCAGUGGCGAAGGCGGCUCUCUGGCCUGUAACUGACGCUGAGGCGCGAAAGCGUGGGGAGCAAACAGGAUUAGAUACCCUGGUAGUCCACGCCGUAAACGAUGAGUGCUAAGUGUUAGAGGGGUCACACCCUUUAGUGCUGCAGCUAACGCGAUAAGCAC